UGGGGGAUAUUGCACAAUGGGCGAAAGCCUGAUGCAGCGACGCCGCGUGGGGGAUGAAGGCCUUCGGGUUGUAAACUUCUUUUGCUCUGAACAAGGCAUGCUAAUGGGUGUGUUGAGUGUAGGGGUUGAUUAGCGCCGGCUAACUACGUGCCAGCAGCCGCGGUAAUACGUAGGGCGCGAGCGUUGUCCGGAAUUAUUGGGCGUAAAGGGCUUGUAGGUGGCUGGUUGCGUCUGUCGUGAAAGCUCAUGGCUUAACUGUGGGUUUGCGGGGGGUAAGGGGUUGCCUGAGGGCAGGAAGGGAGGCUGGAAUUUCUGGUGUAGCCGUGGAAUGGGGCGAUAACAGGAAGAAUACCGGUGGGCAAGGGGGGUUCUUGGGCUGUUACUGACACUGAGGAGCGAAAGCAUGGGGAGCGAACAGG
rnacentral:rRNA from 1 species